rnacentral:misc_RNA from 1 species
UUGUGUCACGGAUCCGACAAGGCUACUCCCCCUCCAAAGGUGGCGAUAUCCGCACACACACAUAUACACGGUCGAAGUCCACGCGUACGAAGAAAGGCGACCUCCUUUCUCUCCUUUUCCUUCCCCUCUCGCUGCGUCUACGUCCACAUAGAGCAAUAUAAGUCUGCGCGGCAUUUCGUGCCACAUCCGCAUUCGACCCCUGCGGCACCUCCUCCCCUGUCUGCGCUGAUACUCGCAUACUCGCAUAUAUAUACAUAUAUAUAUAUAUAUAUAUAUAUAUACGGGCGCGCGUGGUGCAGAACAGCUUAUAUAUCAUCGGCUUCUGCGUCUGUUCACUAAACCCUUUCCACUUGAUUUAUCUUUCUCUGCCCAUCUCUUUCGUACUGCGAGCAAGCAAGGGUACAGAUUUCUUCUUUGCGUGACGGUGUGUGUGUGUGUGUGUCUACCCAGCGUGCGUGUCUGCAGGAUUGUGCAGCAGUCGAUUCCUCUCCUCCCCACCUCAGUGUGAGUUUUUCUUUUUUGCUUUUAGCCCUUGCCAACGCCAAUACGUAUAUCUGACUUCUCUCUUCGCAUCUGUACACGCUCGUGAUUUUCCCUGCUACCCGAAAUCAACUGCAGAGAUCUAUCCAUCUCACUCUCCCCACCCCAUCCGCACCCUGUCCGAGGAUACUCUCCGCGUGUGUCCUCCUUCUUGGGCGCUUUCGAGUCAUCACGUGGGAUGUGAACGAAGAAGCGAGGCAAGCACACACAGACACCACAGGCUCUCUUUUGUCUCUUGUUGUUGUGCUUCUACAUAAAGCCUGUUGUUUUUGUUGUUGUUUACGAAGGUGGUGUAUCUCCCUGUCUGUACGUAUUCCUGGGCCGCCCCUCGCCUCCUCUCACUAGCCCACUUCAUCUCUUGUCGUCGUCUUCCUCGAUAGCUGCUGCUUCUUCUCCUCUCGCUCGCUCUUUCGCUGUCCCUACUGAUAUUAUCACAAAGUCUCGUUCAAGCGAGAAAAACAACUUCAUCAUUAAUAACCAAAAAAAGGGAAAGUGCGCUCUGGCGGUGUGCGCCCGCCGCGCAUUUCGGCUCACUUCAUCGCUGUGUAUGUGUGUCGGCGUGUGCCCGAUUGUGCACUUUCUUUGGGGCGGUGGUGUCUGUCACCUUGUGCGCCGCUGGCUAUUGGGUUUUUGUGGUGGUCCGAACUGCUAGCUGGACUUGCUUCUGGUUUUUUCGUCUUCUUGCUUGUCACUUGCUUGUUUGUCGUUCGCUCUCUUCCUGCAUUCCUCUUGGGGUCUUGCGCGUCUAGUAUACGUACAGAUAUAUCUAUCGAUAUAUAUUUGUUGUGUGCGUAUCUUUUCAUUUGCACUUUUGUUUUGUUACUGUUGUGGUACCAGUGGCCUUUUUUGUGUAUGUUUGUUUGUUUCCUUCGUGUGCGUGCGUGCACAAGUAGUCAUUGUGUCCCAUACAUGGCUGGCCAAUGGUAAUUUUGCAAAGACCAGCACGAGGGUAUACGACUUGUCCCCCAUCGAUUUAAGCGGAGUGCAGUGUGGUGUUUGGCCUGUCGCCUCAUUCGUCCCAUCACCACCACCCCCUCCUCCCUUUUUUGUAGUGGUUGUGGUUGGUCCUCUUGCUGCGCACACACUUUCAAGCGCACGCGCCCCGUGUGCGUGGUUGAGCGUGUGAGCCCGUUUGAAAAUUGUCGUGCAUUCUUUUUUCUGCUGUAGUGGUAUCGCCGCCCUCUCAAGUCGCACGGACACAUUCAGGCGGCGUGUGCUACUGGCACAACGAAAGUGGAGACCUGUGCGCACACGUUUUGAGCUCUAGCGAAGCACCUAAGCGGCGUGGCCUGAGCCGCAGGUUCAGCAGCUCAUAUGGCAUCUGAAACCUCUGUCGCCCUCGGUGUAGGUGUCACCCUUGCUUUAUUCGUGUUGUUUGCUGUCGCCCUUGUCUUUUUCGGGGUUUACACGAAUGACUCUCGCACACGCAGCUUCGAACGCGAAAGGGAGCAGCGCGUGGAGCUGGUGCGGCAGAGGCAACGGCAGGAGCAGGAGCAGUGGCGUGAACGGCGCCUUCGCGACGUCGUUCUGCUGCUGAUUGAGCGUGGCGAGGCGCUAGAGGGAGUAUCACUUGCAUUUCAACUCCCAAAUCGGCCAGAAGUCAGCGCCAGACGAACGCUACGCAGCCGCCGUGGUGUUAACUCGGUGCGACAGAAUCUCGAGAUUGAACUAGCAGACGAGCAGGAGAACAGCCGUCUCGAUGAAGAGGCGCGGAGAAUUGCCCGCAUGCCGCUCCAUGAGCUUCUUGCGAACGGGCGGCCGCAGAAUGCCGACGCAGGUCCGGAUGUGAUGCAGAUGCUGCUUGAUGGGCAGGAGAUACAGCGCCACACGACCAGCGAGGACGACAGCGAUUUCUACCUCAACGACGAAGAUACAACGCCAGCGAGUGUGACACCGUUCCUCAGCCGGCAGGCAAAUGAGGAGGCGCGACUUGGCAGAGGCGGUGGCGAGACGGCACCACCGACGCCGCUGCAAAGCGCCGCGCCAGCGCCCGGACAGCCGCAGCCGCAACAGGGCGAUGGCCCCGCGAGCACCAAUGUGGCGGCGGGGGAACGCGAGAUAGACGCGCGUACGGCGGCCGUGCUUCUCCAAGAGCAGCGGCUCCGCGAGAGCCGCGAGCUGGCUCUUCUGCAAGAGCUACGCCGCGAGAAGCGACGCAAGUAUCGCAAGACCGCUGAAGAAGUGUACGGCCAGGGCGCUGAUUACGAACAUAACCCCGCAAACGACGCCCUUCUGCGCAUUCAGGUGGUGAACGGUGGUGGCACCCCGGGGUCGCCGCUGUGGCGCUUCCUCACCCCGCUGACGUCGCUUCGCGGAAACCGGUCUCGUCGCGACAAAAAGUCUGCCUUCGACGGUCUGUCUCCGCAGGAAUCGACCGUUUAUCAGAGAGAAAACACGGGCCUACCGAAGUCCCCUGCAUCCGGAAAGAAGAAAAACCGCAGCUUCGAGGUGGCUCCCUUCUGAAGAGCCGGCCGCCGACGCGAGCGUUCGGAUUUGCCAGUGGACUCUCCCGCCAUGGCAACCUCGAUCCCUCGUGCAGACAAGAACAGAAGCAAACCCGCAAGCAUUGCACAACGGCAAUUCUCCUUUGGGGGCCUCAUAGAAGGUCUGGGGAGGGGGCUGAGUAACAGCCGCCAGAGCGGAUCGUGCCCGUACUUCUUUCCCACCACCCAGGCUGCAUCGCUCACGCUGUCGACGCUCGCCGCCUCUCAGCCAUCCAUAACCGCUGCAGCCACAACCGUCUCGCCAGUGAUCCCCCCGCACGCGCAGUAGCCGUCAGAAGUCUGAAUAACCAGUAGCACCCGCAUCAGGGGCAUGCGCUGCAGCACUGCUCCUCUGCAAACUCCAUGCUUGGCGGGAGCCAUGUGGUCACCGCAGCCCGUAUCACCGGUGUGCAAACGCCGAGGCGGACCACAAUCAGCGAGAGCGCCAACGCCCGAUAAAUACGAGCCCAGCUCCCGUGAGUAGGGAUAGUCAGUGAUUCACAAACGCAAAAUGGCUUUCCUCACCCUUUUGCCGCUUUUCACCACGAUAGCGCAUCCACGGAUACACUUCGGCCUUUCUCGUCGCGUUGCUCGCUCGCUGUGCUGCUUGUCUUGCAUGGUUUUCUCUGUUUUUAUCUUUUUUCGUUUAGCGCCACCCCUUUUCUAUUGCCUCACCGCCACCGCUGCCACCCAGCAGCCCCUCCUCCUCCCUUCUCUUCCCCACCUCCAACUCGUGUUGGUGCUUCUUCACAGGAUAUGCAAAUCCACCAGGGCGCUUCUCCUUUGUAUGGCGUCGUCUCGCUCCCUUCGGCUGCACGGUUUGCCGGCGCCUCCCUCUCCCAGCAGCAUCCAACGAAGGCUCACCCUCGCUUGUCGCCCACCGCUAUCUUCGCUUUUAUGGCUCGUCGAUGUCGCGUUCGAAAGCCCGAAAAACGUGAGAUUGGAAACCCAAGUGCCCAUGAGAGAAUGAGAGAAAUGCGGAAAGCCAGGCAGGAAAGCGGUCGGGUCAGGUUAACAAGAGCCGCUUUUUGGUGCUGGACUUCCCUCUCUCCCCCCUUUUGUCUUUUUUUCUAUUCAACGCCAGCCACCGACACCACAUCCAAGCGCACUAGCUGCUCUUCCCCUCCCCCCCCUCGCACGCACGCGCGCACGUCCGCCCCUGCGCCAACGUUGGUGUGACAACGUGUCACUGUAUAUUGCCUACUUUCUCGUGUGUGUGUGUGUUCUCUUGAAAUGCGUAAGUGAUCGGUGGUGCCGUCCUCUGUCCUACCUCUCCCCUCGCACGCAAGAGGCGCAGUGAGGCAAGUGCGUGCAGUCGUGUGUCUGUGAGCAAGGCCAGGCGUAAACAAAACGUAUCUAUGCCUUCACCCCACAGCAACACUUCCUAGAUUCAUGCAAAUGUACGUGCCUGGUCGACGAUAGUCUCACUUACUACGCCCAUCUCCCCCCCUCACCCCCCCGGACACACCUCUGAAG